AGCGCAUACGGUGGAUGCCUUGGCAGUCAGAGGCGAUGAAAGACGUGGUAGCCUGCGAAAAGCUUCGGGGAGUCGGCAAACAGACUGUGAUCCGGAGAUGUCUGAAUGGGGGAACCCAGCCAUCAUAAGAUGGUUAUCUUGUACUGAAUACAUAGGUGCAAGAGGCGAACCAGGGGAACUGAAACAUCUAAGUACCCUGAGGAAAAGAAAUCAACCGAGAUUCCCUUAGUAGUGGCGAGCGAACGGGGACCAGCCCUUAAGUUGUAUUGAGAUUAGCGGAACGUUCUGGAAAGGACGGCCAUAGUGGGUGAUAGCCCUGUACGCGAAAAUCCCUUUGCAAUGAAAUCGAGUAGGACGGGGCACGAGAAACCUUGUCUGAAUAUGGGGGGACCAUCCUCCAAGGCUAAAUACUACUGACUGACCGAUAGUGAACCAGUACCGUGAGGGAAAGGCGAAAAGAACCGCGGAGAGCGGAGUGAAAUAGAUCCUGAAACCGUAUGCGUACAAGCAGCGGGAGCCCACUUUGUUGGGUGACUGCGUACCUUUUGUAUAAUGGGUCAGCGACUUAUUUUCAGUGGCGAGCUUAACCGAAUAGGGGAGGCGUAGCGAAAGCGAGUCUUAAUAGGGCGUCUAGUCGCUGGGAAUAGACCCGAAACCGGGCGAUCUAUCCAUGGGCAGGUUGAAGGUUGGGUAACACUAACUGGAGGACCGAACCGACUACCGUUGAAAAGUUAGCGGAUGACCUGUGGAUCGGAGUGAAAGGCUAAUCAAGCUCGGAGAUAGCUGGUUCUCCUCGAAAGCUAUUUAGGUAGCGCCUCAUGUAUCACUGUAGGGGGUAGAGCACUGUUUCGGCUAGGGGGUCAUCCCGACUUACCAAACCGAUGCAAACUCCGAAUACCUACAAGUGCCGAGCAUGGGAGACACACGGCGGGUGCUAACGUCCGUCGUGAAAAGGGAAACAACCCAGACCGUCAGCUAAGGUCCCAAAGUCAUGGUUAAGUGGGAAACGAUGUGGGAAGGCUUAGACAGCUAGGAGGUUGGCUUAGAAGCAGCCACCCUUUAAAGAAAGCGUAAUAGCUCACUAGUCGAGUCGGCCUGCGCGGAAGAUGUAACGGGGCUCAAACCAUGCACCGAAGCUACGGGUAUCAUCUUUUGAUGAUGCGGUAGAGGAGCGUUCUGUAAGCCUGUGAAGGUGAGUUGAGAAGCUUGCUGGAGGUAUCAGAAGUGCGAAUGCUGACAUGAGUAACGACAAUGGGUGUGAAAAACACCCACGCCGAAAGACCAAGGUUUCCUGCGCAACGUUAAUCGACGCAGGGUUAGUCGGUCCCUAAGGCGAGGCUGAAAAGCGUAGUCGAUGGAAAACAGGUUAAUAUUCCUGUACUUCUGGUUAUUGCGAUGGAGGGACGGAGAAGGCUAGGCCAGCCUGGCGUUGGUUGUCCAGGUUUAAGGUGGUAGGCUGAGAUCUUAGGUAAAUCCGGGAUCUUAAGGCCGAGAGCUGAUGACGAGUGUUCUUUAGAACACGAAGUGGUUGAUGCCAUGCUUCCAAGAAAAGCUUCUAAGCUUCAGGUAACCAGGAACCGUACCCCAAACCGACACAGGUGGUUGGGUAGAGAAUACCAAGGCGCUUGAGAGAACUCGGGUGAAGGAACUAGGCAAAAUGGCACCGUAACUUCGGGAGAAGGUGCGCCGGUGAGGGUGAAGCAUUUACUGCGUAAGCCCACGCCGGUCGAAGAUACCAGGCCGCUGCGACUGUUUAUUAAAAACACAGCACUCUGCAAACACGAAAGUGGACGUAUAGGGUGUGACGCCUGCCCGGUGCCGGAAGGUUAAUUGAUGGGGUUAGCGCAAGCGAAGCUCUUGAUCGAAGCCCCGGUAAACGGCGGCCGUAACUAUAACGGUCCUAAGGUAGCGAAAUUCCUUGUCGGGUAAGUUCCGACCUGCACGAAUGGCGUAACGAUGGCGGCGCUGUCUCCACCCGAGACUCAGUGAAAUUGAAAUCGCUGUGAAGAUGCAGUGUAUCCGCGGCUAGACGGAAAGACCCCGUGAACCUUUACUAUAGCUUUGCACUGGACUUUGAAUUUGCUUGUGUAGGAUAGGUGGGAGGCUUUGAAGCGUGGACGCCAGUCUGCGUGGAGCCAACCUUGAAAUACCACCCUGGCAACUUUGAGGUUCUAACUCAGGUCCGUUAUCCGGAUCGAGGACAGUGUAUGGUGGGUAGUUUGACUGGGGCGGUCUCCUCCUAAAGAGUAACGGAGGAGUACGAAGGUGCGCUCAGACCGGUCGGAAAUCGGUCGUAGAGUAUAAAGGCAAAAGCGCGCUUGACUGCGAGACAGACACGUCGAGCAGGUACGAAAGUAGGUCUUAGUGAUCCGGUGGUUCUGUAUGGAAGGGCCAUCGCUCAACGGAUAAAAGGUACUCCGGGGAUAACAGGCUGAUACCGCCCAAGAGUUCAUAUCGACGGCGGUGUUUGGCACCUCGAUGUCGGCUCAUCACAUCCUGGGGCUGAAGCCGGUCCCAAGGGUAUGGCUGUUCGCCAUUUAAAGUGGUACGCGAGCUGGGUUUAGAACGUCGUGAGACAGUUCGGUCCCUAUCUGCCGUGGACGUUUGAGAUUUGAGAGGGGCUGCUCCUAGUACGAGAGGACCGGAGUGGACGAACCUCUGGUGUUCCGGUUGUCACGCCAGUGGCAUUGCCGGGUAGCUAUGUUCGGAAAAGAUAACCGCUGAAAGCAUCUAAGCGGGAAACUUGCCUCAAGAUGAGAUCUCACUGGAACCUUGA
rnacentral:rRNA from 1 species